GACGAACGCUGGCGGCGUGCUUAACACAUGCAAGUCGAACGGAAAGGCCCUGCUUUUGUGGGGUGCUCGAGUGGCGAACGGGUGAGUAACACGUGAGUAACCUGCCCUUGACUUUGGGAUAACUUCAGGAAACUGGGGCUAAUACCGGAUAGGAGCUCCUGCUGCAUGGUGGGGGUUGGAAAGUUUCGGCGGUUGGGGAUGGACUGGCGGCUUAUCAGCUUGUUGGUGGGGUAGUGGCUUACCAAGGCUUUGACGGGUAGCCGGCCUGAGAGGGUGACCGGCCACAUUGGGACUGAGGUACGGCCCAGACUCCUACGGGGGGCAGCAGUGGGGAAUAUUGCACAAUGGGCGGAAGCCUGAUGCAGCAGCGCCGCGUGCGGGAUGACGGCCUUCGGGCUGUAAACCGCUUUCGCCUGUGACGAAGCGUGAGUGACGGUAAUGGGUAAAGAAGCACCGGCUAACUACGUG
rnacentral:rRNA from 1 species